rnacentral:sRNA from 1 species
AGAUACCCAGGAGAUCUUCCAAACAGGCUCAUUCCGAAACGGCUUGGCGGAAGCUGACCGAGUAUACUUGCGACAGAUUGCAAUUAGAAGAUACUUAAGAUAUAUUUCUGCAAGGCAAGUAUUCUCCCCUCCUUCCCCGUAUUCCCCGUCUUCCCCUUUGAUCUUCCACCAUUUGGGUGCGAGCUUACUAUUGUCGGAACUAAAUACGUCCGAAUAUUGUCCCAAAUACUGAAUAUCGAUAAAAUAAAUUGAAUUGAUUAUUCUCACUCCAAUAAUUACAUGAUAAUCAGGCAGUAUUUAUAAGAAAGAGAAUGCUCGAAUAUAUGAUAGGGGCAGUGCUGGUAUAUAUCGGAGCAGUGAUCCGGUUUCCGGAAUUGAGAUAAUAGAAGAUCCUUGAUAUGAUAUAUCAUUUCUCACAACUAUCAUCGAGGAACAAGCAUGUUAUUAUGAGUUCGGAGCCCAUUCUCGUAGGAUAAUGCAGCAUUUUCCGCAAUUCAACAAGUUGUCGGCGCUUCUUGAACUUUCGAUACGAGAGGUAGAACUCUGUUACGAAGCUCAGUAAGAACAAUCAACCUUGGAAGCGGCCGAUGCUUGCGCUCUUAUGCGCCGUGUUCUUUCGUCUCCCCGAAUUUAUACAUGGUUAUGUGACUAUCUUCCACACCCC